AGCUUACCAAGGCGACGAUCAGUAGCUGGUUUGAGAGGAUGAUCAGCCACACUGGAACUGAGACACGGUCCAGACUUCUACGGAAGGCAGCAGUGGGGAAUUUUCCGCAAUGGGGGAAAGCCUGACGGAGCAAUACCGCGUGAGGGAAGAAUGCCUGUGGGUUGUAAACCUCUUUUCUCAGGGAAGAAUUUUGACUGUACCUGAUGAAUAAGCAUCGGCUAACUCCGUGCCAGCAGCCCCGGUAAUACGGGGGAUGCAAGCGUUAUCCGGAAUCACUGGGCGUAAAGCGUCUGUAGGUGGUUUAGUAAGUCUGCUGUUAAAUAUUAGGGCUCAACCCUAAAACAGCAGUGGAAACUACUAGACUAGAGUAUGGUAUGGGCAAAGGGAAUUCCCAGUGUAGCGGUGAAAUGCGUAGAUAUUGGGAAGAACACCAGUAGCGAAAGCGCUUUGCUUGACCUUAACUGACACUCAGAGACGAAAGCUAAGGUAGCGAAUGGGAUUAGAUACCCCAGUAGUCUUAGCCGUAAACGAUGGAUACUAGAUGUUGCGUGUAUCGAUCCGUGCAGUAUCGUUGCUAACGCGUUAAGUAUCCCGCCUGGGAAGUAUGCUCGCAAGAGUGAA
rnacentral:rRNA from 1 species